UGCACAGUUCUAAGGUGAUCUGAAGAAAAUUUUCAACAGUUCAUCUUAUAAAUAUCUAGAGAUACAUCUAGCCUUUUUUUAAGGAAAAAUAUCCAGAGAUACACUAUGAAUUGUAUUUGUCGAACAGAACACGAACUAUAAGUUAGACAUUAGAUGCAGGCAGACCACUACGGUCAGAAUUAGUGUACAUAGGCAGUUGCUUGGUCAACUCCUGCUUUCUUUGUCCUUGUGCUUUAGGCAAUCAGUCUCGACUUCGGCUAUAUGAUGCAUGGUAAAAGUAAUGCGAUUUCUUGCUCGCUGAUCAUACAGAUUUUAGCUCAAUUUG
rnacentral:lncRNA from 1 species